rnacentral:rRNA from 1 species
AUCAGGGACGAAUAGCUCAGUAAAACUGCGAUGAUUUAGUCUGGCUGUGUAGAUAACUACGUGAAAAUGUAGCUAAGGGAAGGCAGAAUAAGACGCAGGACUAUCAGUUAGUUGGCAGUGUAAUGGACUACCAAGACAGUGACGGUUGACGGGAAAUUAGGGUUUUGUACCGGAGAGGGAGCCUGAGAGAUUGCUCCCACGUCCAAGGACGGCAGCAGGCGCGAAAAUUGCCCACUCUUUGCAGGAGGCAGUUAUGAGACGUGAAGAUGAGUAUCUUGUAAAGAGGGAUAGGAGAAUUGGAGGGCAAGUUUGGUGCCAGCAGCCGCGGUAAUACCGACUCCAAGAGUGUGUAUGAGAGAUGCUGCAGUUAAAAAGUCCGUAGUCAUAGAAGGGCAAAGAGAGAUGCGAGGUCUCACAGUGCGAUGAUGGAGGAGCCGAUGGGGAACAUAGUAUACCAGGGCGAGAGAUGAAAUGCCAAGACCCCUGGUGGACUGAGCGAGGCGAAGGCGAUGUUCUUGUAGGCAUUCGGUGAUCAAGGACGAAGGCUGGAGUAUCGAAAGUGAUUAGAUACCGCAGUAGUUCCAGCAGUAAAAGAUGCCGACAUGCUCAUUGGACACAGUGGGCAGGGAGAAAUCUUAGAGUUCGGGCUCUGGGGAUAGUAUGCUCGCAAGGGUGAAAAUUAAAGAAAUUGACGGAGCUACACCACAAGGAGUGGAUUGUGCGGCUUAAUUUGACUCAACGCGAG